ACAAUGAAGAGUUUGAUCCUGGCUCAGGAUGAACGCUAGCGACAGGCCUAACACAUGCAAGUCGAGGGGCAGCACGAGGUAGCAAUACUUUGGUGGCGACCGGCGCACGGGUGCGUAACGCGUAUGCAACCUACCUGUAAUUGGGGGAUAGCCUUCCGAAAGGAAGAUUAACACCGCAUAAGACAAUAGAUCCGCAUGGAUUAGUUGUUAAAUAUUUAUAGAUUACGGAUGGGCAUGCGUCUGAUUAGAUAGUUGGUAGGGUAACGGCCUACCAAGUCAGCGAUCAGUAGGGGUUCUGAGAGGAAGGUCCCCCACACCGGAACUGAGACACGGUCCGGACUCCUACGGGAGGCAGCAGUGAGGAAUAUUGGUCAAUGGGCGAGAGCCUGAACCAGCCAAGUCGCGUGAAGGAAGAAUGUCCUAUGGAUUGUAAACUUCUUUUGUAGGGGGAUAAAAAAGAGUACGAGUACUCUAUUGUAGGUACCCUACGAAUAAGGAUCGGCUAACUCCGUGCCAGCAGCCGCGGUAAUACGGAGGAUCCAAGCGUUAUCCGGAUUUAUUGGGUUUAAAGGGUGCGUAGGCGGGCUGUUAAGUCAGUGGUGAAAGGUUGACGCUCAACGUUAACAUUGCCAUUGAAACUGGCGGUCUUGAGUGCAAAUGAGGUAGGCGGAAUGUGUUGUGUAGCGGUGAAAUGCAUAGAUAUGACACAGAACACCGAUUGCGAAGGCAGCUUACUGGAAUGUAACUGACGCUGAGGCACGAAAGCGUGGGGAUCAAACAGGAUUAGAUACCCUGGUAGUCCACGCAGUAAACGAUGAUUACUAGCUGUUAGCGAUAGAAUGUUAGUGGCUAAGCGAAAGCGAUAAGUAAUCCACCUGGGGAGUACGUUCGCAAGAAUGAAACUCAAAGGAAUUGACGGGGGCCCGCACAAGCGGAGGAACAUGUGGUUUAAUUCGAUGAUACGCGAGGAACCUUACCCGGGCUUGAAAUGCAUCUGACGAAUCAGGAAACUGGUUUUCUAGCAAUAGCAGAUGUGUAGGUGCUGCAUGGUUGUCGUCAGCUCGUGCCGUGAGGUGUCGGCUUAAGUGCCAUAACGAGCGCAACCCUUGUCAUUAGUUA
rnacentral:rRNA from 1 species